GGCUCCGGCCCUAUCAGCCUGAAGGCGCCCGAUCUCGUCUGAUCUCGGAAGCUAAGCAGGGUCGGGCCUGGUUAGGAUCUUGGAUGGGAGACCACCUCGGGAAUCCCGGGUGCUCGAGGCU
ensembl:rRNA 5S_rRNA 5S ribosomal RNA